rnacentral:rRNA from 1 species
CGGCGUGCCUAACACAUGCAAGUCGUACGAGAAAGUUGGCUUCGGCCGAUGAGUAAAGUGGCGCACGGGUGAGUAAUAGCGUGGAUAAUCUGCCCUUUAGUUGGGAAUAACGUACCGAAAGGUGCGCUAAUACCUGAUAAUACUGCAUAACUACUGUUGUGUAGUCAAAGAAGGCCUCUGUUUACAAGCUUUUGCUGAAGGAUGAGUCCGCGUACCAUUAGCUGGUUGGUGGGGUAAUGGCCUACCAAGGCUACGAUGGUUAGCUGGUCUGAGAGGAUGAUCAGCCACACUGGAACUGAGACACGGUCCAGACUCCUACGGGAGGCAGCAGUGAGGAAUAUUGCGCAAUGGGGGCAACCCUGACGCAGCAACGCCGCGUGAGUGAGGAAGGUUUUCGGACCGUAAAGCUCUGUCGAGCGGGAAGAAAUGUAUCAUGGCUAAUAUCCAUGAUACUUGACGGUACCGCUAAAGGAAGCACCGGCUAACUCCGUG